rnacentral:rRNA from 1 species
CCUACGGGAGGCAGCAGUGGGGAAUAUUGCACAAUGGGGGAAACCCUGAUGCAGCGACGCCGCGUGAGAGAUGAAGAAUUUCGGAAGGUAAAGCUCUAUCAGCGGGGAAGAAAAUGACGGUAUCUGACUAAGAAGCCCCGGCUAACUACGGGCCAGCAUCCGCGGGAAUACGUAGGGGGCAAGCGUUAUCCGGAUUUACUGGGUGGAACGGGAGCGUAGACGGUCCGGCAAGCCAGAUGUGAAAGCCCGGGGCUCAACCCCGGGACUGCAUUUGGAACUGUAAGGCUAGAGUGUCGGAGAGGCAGGCGGAAUUCCUAGUGUAGCGGUGAAAUGCGUCGCUAUUAGGAGCAACACCAGUGGCGCCGGCGGCCUGCUGGACGAUGACUGACGUUGAGGCUCGAAAGCGUGGGGAGCAAACAGGAUUAGAUACCCCGGUAGUC